UCUUCAGUGAGUAGACAGUGACCUUUGUUCUUCUGAGUUUGCUGAAGCCACAAUUUCUGUCCUGGGAAGA
rnacentral:snoRNA from 1 species